ncrna:Parvimonas sp. oral taxon 110 str. F0139 dfrA-dnaX RNA
AUGCAUUAUAAUAAGUAUAUUCAUAUUUCAUCAUAGUUACAUAAAUUUAGUUAUAAAAAAGGAACUAUGAUAUAAU